rnacentral:lncRNA from 1 species
CUUCUCCGAGGAUGCGGUGACCGACUCCUCGGGGUCGGGCACACUCCCCAGGGCCCGGGGCCGGGCCUCAAAGGGGACCGGGAAGCGAAGGAAGAAGCGUCCCUCCAGGAGCCAGGAAGGCCUCAGGCCCAGGCCCAAGGCCAAGUGAGAGAGCCCAGGCCACAGGACAUGCUGCCAUUCUGCCAAGAGAGGCUCUUCUGGGGGCCAGGCUGGGACUGGGCCCCGGAAACCAAAACUCCGUGCCUUACCCAGCCGGGGCCCUCCUGGAGCCUUCUUGGGGUGUUGUGGCUGGGAACCCGACAGGCACCAGUGCCCUGCCAGGCCUGGUGCCCUCCUGGACCGCCUGCACGUGCCAGCCUCCCACCUGCUUCCUAAAGGCAACCCUGGCCCACACCCGCAUGCGCCCGGUGCAGCCUGCCAAGGGCCAGUCGGGGGGUGCUGCGUCCUGCCAGUGUCCACCACAGCUCUGCCUGCCCUUCAGCCCAGCAAGGUUUAAUCAAAAUGCAAUGCUUUGCAAGUCUUUACUGCUUGGAGGUGGCUGAGUUGGGGGCCCUGGGCAGGGGUAAGCUGGCAGGCAGUGCCAUGGCAGGCCAGGGUCCCCUCCCAUGGGGUCUGGCCCCCGUUCCAGCAUGUCCAGCCCCUGAAGUUGGAGUGGGGGGCGGUCUGCCUUUGCUGCCACUGCCAGGCCUCUGCCCUGCAGCUGAAACUUGGCCAUCACAUCAACAGAAAACCCCUCCCAGUGCCAGCUGCCCAGCGUGGGCAGGCCCUGGGGACAAUACAGGUCCACCUGAGGGGCUGCAGGGUGACACCCAGCAGCCGCUGCCCCCUCACUGCCCACCCAGCGAGGGCAGCCUACCCGAGCCUGCCCCCUGCCAGGUGUGUGCCCUGAGGCUGGCGGCUGGAUGCGUGGCCAAUAAAAAGCAGACCUAG